GAUGAACGCUAGCUACAGGCUUAACACAUGCAAGUCGAGGGGCGUCAGGAAGAAAGCUUGCUUUCUUUGCUGGCGACCGGCGCACGGGUGAGUAACACGUAUCCAACCUGCCGAUGACUCGGGGAUAGCCUUUCGAAAGAAAGAUUAAUACCCGAUGGCAUAGUUCUUCCGCAUGGUAGAACUAUUAAAGAAUUUCGGUCAUCGAUGGGGAUGCGUUCCAUUAGGUUGUUGGCGGGGUAACGGCCCACCAAGCCUUCGAUGGAUAGGGGUUCUGAGAGGAAGGUCCCCCACAUUGGAACUGAGACACGGUCCAAACUCCUACGGGAGGCAGCAGUGAGGAAUAUUGGUCAAUGGACGAGAGUCUGAACCAGCCAAGUAGCGUGAAGGAUGACUGCCCUAUGGGUUGUAAACUUCUUUAUAAAGGAAUAAAGUCGGGUAUGUAUACCCGUUGCAUGUACUUUAUGAAUAAGGACCGGCUAAUUCCGUG
rnacentral:rRNA from 1 species